rnacentral:rRNA from 1 species
GACGAACGCUGGCGGCGUGCUUAACACAUGCAAGUCGAACGAAGUGGCGAACGGGUGAGCAACGCGUAAUCAACUUGCCCUUCAGAGGGGGACACCAGUUGGAAACGACUGCUAAUACCGCAUAGUGAAGGAGGGGAUGGCGGCGGAUUAGCUAGUUGGAGGGGUAACGGCCCACCAAGGCGAUGAUCAGUAGGCGGGCUGAGGGGAUGAACGGCCAAAUUGGGACUGAGACACGGCCCAGAAUCCUACGGGGGGCAGCAGUGGGGAAUCUUCCGCAAUGGACGAAAGUCUGACGAAGCAACGCCGCGUGAGUGAUGACGGCCUUCGGGUUGUAAAGCUCUGUUAAUCGGGACGCGGUACCGGAAUAGAAAGCCACGGCUAACUACGUGCCAGCAGCCGCGGUAAUAC